rnacentral:rRNA from 1 species
GACAGGGGGCUCGAGCGUUAAUCGGAAUCACUGGGCUUAAAGGGUGCGUAGGCGGGCCAGUAAGCGUCUUGUGAAAUCCCCCGGCUCAACCGGGGAACCGCGGGGCGAACUGCUGGUCUAGAGGAAGCUAGAGGCGGGUAGAACGAUAGGUGGAGCGGUGGAAUGCGUAGAUAUCUAUCGGAAUGCCGAAGUGAAGACAGCCCGCUGGGGCUU